GACGAACGCUGGCGGCGUGCUUAACACAUGCAAGUCGAACGGAAAGGCCCUGCUUUUGUGGGGUGCUCGAGUGGCGAACGGGUGAGUAACACGUGAGUAACCUGCCCUUGACUUUGGGAUAACUUCAGGAAACUGGGGCUAAUACCGGAUAGGAGCUCCUGCUGCAUGGUGGGGGUUGGAAAGUUUCGGCGGUUUGGGAUGGACUCGCGGCUUAUCAGCUUGUUGGUGGGGUAGUGGCUGACCAAGGCUUUGACGGGUAGCCAGCCUGGGAGUGUGACCGGGCCCAUUGUCCUACGGGAGGGACCAGGGCUCAAUAGGGGGCAGUAGUGGGGAACAUUGCACAGUGGGCCGGAGCCUGUUACGACGGCGCCGCGUGCGGGAAGACGGCCUUCGGGUUAUAAACCGCUUUCGCCUGUGACGAAGCGUGAGUGACGGUAACGGGUAAAGAAGCACCGGCUAACUACGUG
rnacentral:rRNA from 1 species